rnacentral:rRNA from 1 species
UAGAACCGGGGUAAGCGUGUAGGAGGAGGACCAGGCAAAUCCGGGCCUCAUAUACUCUGAGACGUGAUACCGAGCCGCUUCAGACGAAGUCAUUAAUCCUAUGCUGCCUAGAAAAGCCCAGUAGCGAGUUGACAUGGUGCCCGUACCCCAAACCAACACAGGUGGACAGGUAGAGCAUACCAAGGCGAGUGGGAUAACUAUGGUUAAGGAACUCGGCAAAUUUCCUCCGUAACUUCGGGAUAAGGAGGACCCCAGUAGCGUGACGAGACCUGCUCUCCGAGCGUGAAGGGGUGGCACAAAAUUGAGGGAAGCGACUGUUUACCAAAAACACAGCAGCGUGCUAAGCCGUAAGGCGCUGUAUACGCUGUGACUCCUGCCCGGUGCUGGAAGGUUACGGGGAUGGGUUAGUCCCUUGGGACGAAGCUCUGAACCUAAGCUCCAGUAAACGGCGGCCGUAACUAUAACGGUCCUAAGGUAGCGAAAUUCCUUGUCGGGUAAGUUCCGACCUGCACGAAUGGAGUAACGACUUCCCUACUGUCUCAACCAUAGACCCAGCGAAAUUGAAGUACGAGUAAAGAUGCUCGUUAGCUGCAGAAGGACGGAAAGACCCCGUGGACCUUUACUAUAACUUGAUGUUGUGUUUUGUCAUAUGUUGUGUAGGAUAGGUGGGAGACAAGGAAGCAUGGACGCUAGUCUGUGUGGAGUCAUCGUUGAAAUACCACCCUGCAUAUGGUGAGGCUCUAACCUAGACCCGUUAUCCGGGUUGGGGACAGCGUCAGGCGGGUAGUUUAACUGGGGCGGUUGCCUCCUAAAGAGUAACGGAGGCGCCCAAAGGUUCCCUCAGCCUGGUUGGCAAUCAGGCGUCGAGUGCAAUGGCAAAAGGGAGCUUGACUGCGAGACCUACAAGUCGAGCAGGAGCGAAAGCUGGGCAUAGUGGUCCGGCGGUUGCGUGUGGAAGCGCCGUCGCUCAACGGAUAAAAGGUACCCCGGGGAUAACAGGCUAAUCUUGCCCAAGCGUCCAUAGCGACGGCAAGGUUUGGCACCUCGAUGUCGGCUCAUCGCAUCCUGGGGCUGAAGCAGGUCCCAAGGGUUGGGCUGUUCGCCCAUUAAAGCGGUACGCGAGCUGGGUUCAGAACGUCGUGAGACAGUUCGGUCCCUAUCCUCUGUAGCCGUAGGUGAAUUGAGGAAAGCUGUCCCUAGUACGAGAGGACCGGGACGGACGCAGCUCUCGUGUGCCAGUUGUCCUGCCAAGGGCAUGGCUGGUUAGCGACCUGCGGAAAGGAUAACCGCUGAAAGCAUCUAAGCGGGAAGCCUCUUCCAAGAUGAAUUCACCCACAGGGUUAACCUGGUAAGGCCCGUGGUAGACCACCACGUUGAUAGGCCGGAAGUGUAAGCGUGGCAACACGUUCAGCUGACCGGUACUAAUCGGCCGAGGGCUCGA